AAAAGUGUGAGGAGGCAGUAUACGAGAUCUGUCUCUUCAUAACGAAGAACGUUGAGGUAUAUCAAAAUCAAUGGCCGAGAUAUCGUUUCAGUCGUCAUUUUUUCUCCAUUGACGGUCUGAUUGUUGCUCGUCCACAC
rfam:Gossypium raimondii chromosome 10, whole genome shotgun sequence.